rnacentral:rRNA from 1 species
UACAGAGGUCUCAAGCGUUGUUCGGAUUCAUUGGGCGUAAAGGGUGUGUAGGAGGUCUUGUAAGUCGGGCGUGAAAUCUCACCGCUUAACGGUGAAACUGCGUUCGAUACUGCUUGGCUAGAGGAUCGGAGGGGGUAUCGGAAUUCAUGGUGUAGCAGUGAAAUGCGUAGAUAUCAUGAGGAACACCGGUGGCGAAAGCGGAUACCUGGAAGAUUCCUGACUCUGAAACACGAAAGCUAGGGGAGCAAACGGG